rnacentral:misc_RNA from 1 species
GGCCGUCAAUUCCUUUGAGUUUCACACUUGCGUGCAUACUCCCCAGGCGGAGGACUCACUGCGUUAACUGCAGCACUGGGUCUUCCCCAACACUUGGUCCUCAUCGUUUACGGCGUGGACUACUAGGGUAUCUAAUCCUAUUUGCUCCCCACGCUUUCGUGCCUCAGCGUCAGUCAACAGGCCAGGCGGCCGCCUUCGCCACUGGUGUUCUUCCAUAUAUCUACGCAUUUUACCGCUACACAUGGAGUUCCACCGCCCUCUCCUGCUCUCUAGCCCGCCAGUUUCCAGAGCCUGUACCGGUUGAGCCGGUACCUUUCACUCCAGACUUAGCAGGCCGCCUACGCACCCUUUACGCCCAAUCAUUCCGGAUAACGCUCGCCACCUACGUAUUACCGCGGCG